CCUACGGGAGGCUGCAGUGAGGAAUAUUGGUCAAUGGGCGGAAGCCUGAACCAGCCAAGUAGCGUGCAGGAUGACGGCCCUACGGGUUGUAAACUGCUUUUAUACGGGAAUAACGCGCCUUACGUGUAGGGCUUUGCAUGUACCGUAUGAAUAAGGACCGGCUAAUUCCGUGCCAGCAGCCGCGGUAAUACGGAAGGUCCGAGCGUUAUCCGGAUUUAUUGGGUUUAAAGGGAGCGUAGACGGGUUGUCAAGUGUGCUGUGAAAUUUUCCGGCUCAACCCGGGCCUUGCAAUGUGAACUGGCGUGCUUGAGUCCGCGGAAGGCAGGCGGAAUUCGUGGUGUAGCGGUGAAAUGCUUAGAUAUGACGAAGAACCCCGAUUGCGAAGGCAGCUUGCUGCAGCGGAACUGACACUGAUGCUCGAAAGCGCGGGUAUCGAACAGGAUUAGAUACCCCUGUAGUC
rnacentral:rRNA from 1 species